GAUGAACGCUGGCGGCGUGCCUAAUACAUGCAAGUCGAGCGAACAGAUAAGGAGCUUGCUCCUUUGACGUUAGCGGCGGACGGGUGAGUAACACGUGGGUAACCUACCUAUAAGACUGGGAUAACUUCGGGAAACCGGAGCUAAUACCGGAUAACAUUUGGAACCGCAUGGUUCUAAAGUGAAAGAUGGUUUUGCUAUCACUUAUAGAUGGACCCGCGCCGUAUUAGCUAGUUGGUAAGGUAACGGCUUACCAAGGCAACGAUACGUAGCCGACCUGAGAGGGUGAUCGGCCACACUGGAACUGAGACACGGUCCAGACUCCUACGGGAGGCAGCAGUAGGGAAUCUUCCGCAAUGGGCGAAAGCCUGACGGAGCAACGCCGCGUGAGUGAUGAAGGGUUUCGGCUCGUAAAACUCUGUUAUUAGGGAAGAACAAAUGUGUAAGUAACUGUGCACGUCUUGACGGUACCUAAGCAGAAAGCCACGGCUAACUACGU
rnacentral:rRNA from 1 species